AAAAAGAGUUUACCUUUUUAUGACCCUUCUUGGAUAAAAUUUACACUUUUAACCCUUUAUAUAAAAGAAUUUUCAUUUUAGUCCUUAAACCAUUUUUCUUGACACUUUAGUGUCAAAACUUAUUAAAAAGACAUUUUCAGCCUAGAUUCACUUGAUAAACAGCUUAAGUCCUUCAAAAAUGAUUUUCUCUUGGUUGGAACCCUUAUUUUCGCAACUUUACAGUUUUGGCCCAAAAUGGAAAAUUUUUGCAUUUUUGGUCCCUUUUGACUUUGAAAACAUUUUUGACCCUUAAAUUAGUUUUAUUACACUAGUAAUCCCCUGUUUUAUAGAAAUUUGAAGUGUCAGCCCCUCUAUUUCAGAAUUUUCGCAAUUUGGGGCUUAUUGGGCCGAAAAGCCCAUUUUUAGCCCAUUAGGUUCAAAAUUUACAUUUUAAGCCCCUCAAAAGUGUUGAUUUUCAGAAAAUUUUUAUUAGAAACUGUUUGGACUCUUUCCAACCUCCAGAAAUUAUCAUUUGUCGUUUUGGGCCCUUAGCUUUUGUAUUUUUGACAAUUUGAGCCCAAAAAUGGGUUUUAUGUCCAAAAAUGUUCAUCCUAACCAAAUAAAUUAUUUUUAUUGACUUGAUUAGUGUAAAAUGGUAUAAGCUAUGUUUAUUUCAUUCAUCAAGUUGUAGAUCUCGGAUUUUAGGUAUUUUUAGCUAUCAUAUUCAUCACAUAACAUAUAAAAUCAUACAUACAAGCAUGAAAAUCACACAAGGCAUACAUGAACUCAUAGAUCUACACAUUUGCUUGUAUUCUCCCCCACAAAACUUAUAAAAAUAGAGAAAUAGGGGGUAUGAAGCUCACCUUGGGUGUGGAUUUGGUUUUUGAUGUAGAGAAGAGAAGAGUUUGUUGUUAUUUUCGGCCCUAGCAACCUUUUCUUGGAAGAUCUCGAAUUUAGGGGGUUCUAAGAUGCAAGAUCAUGAUUUCAUUUGAGUCAAGAAGAGAUUUUUGAUAGAACAAGGAGUCUAGAGUGUGGAUCCAAGCAUCAACUUACCUAAGAUGAUGAUUUUUGUGAAGAAUCCUCCUUGCAAAGUCCUUAAAUCUCGAAAUUUUUGAAGGGGAAGUGAAGGGAUUUGUGGUGUGUUCUUGAGAGUGCUUAAGUGAAUGAUUAUGUGUGGGUGUGUGAUACUCUCGGCCGAGAGUAAUAGAAGAAGAAGAGAGACAGGGAAGUGAAAGGUUAUGCAUGGAUACAUGUGAUAUUUGCUUGGAUAUCCCAUAGGUAUUAAGGAGGUGGCUAAUCCUCCUUAAUUCUCACAUUCUUCUUUUCUUUCUCCCUUUUUUCUUAUUACUACUUGGGCCGAGAGAUAGAGGAGAGAGAUGGAGAUUUGGGCCUUUGGUGCUUAAAUCCAAAUCAUGGGCUUAUUGAUUGCUUUUCGGCCCAUUGGGUGUCUCACGGUCCUAUUUAUCAAAGAGAAUAAAUUUUUAUGGCCCAUUUAGGUUAAUUGGAUUUGUUAUGGUCCCAUAAGGUCCAUUAAGGUAUUCUAUUUCAUUCUAGGCCCAAUAUGGCCCAAAAUGUUAAAAUAAAUGAAAGUGGGUCCAAUUAGAGCCCAUUUAAGAGUUCUAAGCCCAAGAUAGUCAAAUUGGAAGCUUAUUGGUCCAUUGGGCCCAAUAAGGAAGUCCUAGUCCAAAAUGGACCUAAACAAGAACUUCUAGUGUUUCCAAUUGCUUGUUGACUAUUUGUAGUGCUUGUAUGAAGUGUUUGAUUCAAAUUUUGUUGUCAUAGAGUAAGUAUCAUGCAUGCUUUCAUGUCUUUGAUUCAUAAUUUGACUUAAUUUGAUUCAUAAUUUGUUGUCAUAGAGUAAGUACCACUGGUUGGUGGAUAACAUGAUCCAUCCUUUGAAAAAGAAUUGGAAAUGAUCCCGGAGCUAAAUUACCAUAGUCCAAUAACUUGACUACAGUGAGUUUCAGAUAGACUCCAAUGAUAGUAUGAUGAAAGUAUUUGAACAAAGAGUGAAACAGAAAUUAGCCGAAUAUCAAUAUCAUUGAUAUUUAUGAUGUAAUAAGUUCGAGGAAAAUUGGCCUUGGAGUAGGCCUUACAUCAUAUUAGGAGUAGGAAAACUUUGACAGCAUAAAGGCCUAACUAAAAGUACUUACAAUACAAGAUAGUUGCAUAGAAAAGUGCUAUAUACGACAUAGACAGGUAAAUGAUUCCUUAAAGUAAGGAAGGAAAGUAAACCAUGUCCUACUGGUGACGGUCAUCCCUGUGGUGAACCCUUAGUUCAGCCAGUUGACGUUUCAUAUCAAGCAGGUAUCUUUCGUAUACUCUCUGGCAUACUCGGAGCUCUAUGACUUUGGCUCGGGUUUCAGCUAGUGCUUGCAGCAGGGCCUCAUGGUCUCUCUCAGAUCUCUCACGAGCAUUUUCAAGGCGAUUGGUGCAGAUGGUAUGCAUUCCUUCGUUGGCAUCAACCUCUGCGAUACGCUGGAGUGCCGUCUAGCCCUGAAUUUCGUUUUGGGCAACCCUACGGACCAGGAUUGGCAUAAUUCUGUCUGUUGAGACUCCUUUGCUUAAGUUGUAAAAGCUUUGGUCUCCAUUAAACGACAUAGGUUGAUCUUGUUCUUCGCUCCAUGUUUCCAAGAAUUCUACCCAAGGAGGCGUCGGGCCAUGAAAAGUCGGAUGAGGGUUAGGAUUUGGAAUGGGAGCUACCGGGGGUAGGUUCUCAACCUCGGGCUCGGAGUUAGCACCAUCCAAAAUGUCUUCAGCAUGGUGAUCAUCUAAAUGGAUUGGAUGAUCAUCUUCUGGCUCUUCUUCAAAUCAUCCAUCAUUGCCUUCGUUCGGAAGGUACGAAUCGUCGUGGGGAUGGAGUCUAGCCAUGUUAUCUACACGAGAAUUGGGGUAAAGAAAUACUUAUUAGACCCGUACUAACUAGAUAGUUAUAAGAUAAUCUUCAUUAGUUACUUCACUAUUUGUAAAGUGCAUACCAGUUAUAUGUAAUCAAAAUAGGAUAGGCCUUUNAGGUUAAUUGGAUUUGUUAUGGUCCCAUAAGGUCCAUUAAGGUAUUCUAUUUCAUUCUAGGCCCAAUAUGGCCCAAAAUGUUAAAAUAAAUGAAAGUGGGUCCAAUUAGAGCCCAUUUAAGAGUUCUAAUCCCAAGAUAGUCAAAUUGGAAGCUUAUUGGUCCAUUGGGCCCAAUAAGGAAGUCCUAGUCCAAAAUGGACCUAAACAAGAACUUCUAGUGUUUCCAAUUGCUUGUUGACUAUUUGUAGUGCUUGUAUGAAGUGUUUGAUUGAAAUUUUGUUGUCAUAGAGUAAGUAUCAUGCAUGCUUUCAUGUCUUUGAUUCAUAAUUUGACUUAAUUUGAUUCAUAAUUUGUUGUCAUAGAGUAAGUACCACUGGUUGGUGGAUAACAUGAUCCAUCCUUUGAAAAAGAAUUGGAAAUGAUCCCGGAGCUAAAUUACCAUAGUCCAAUAACUUGACUACAGUGAGUUUCAGAUAGACUCCAAUGAUAGUAUGAUGAAAGUAUUUGAACAAAGAGUGAAACAGAAAUUAGCCGAAUAUCAAUAUCAUUGAUAUUUAUGAUGUAAUAAGUUCGAGGAAAAUUGGCCUUGGAGUAGGCCUCACAUCAUAUUAGGAGUAGGAAAACUUUGACAGCAUAAAGGCCUAACUAAAAGUACUUACAAUACAAGAUAGUUGCAUAGAAAAGUGCUAUAUACGACAUAGACAGGUAAAUGAUUCCUUAAAAUAAGGAAGGAAAGUAAACCAUGUCCUACUGGUGACGGUCAUCCCUGUGGUGAACCCUUAGUUCAGCCAGUUGACGAUUCAUAUCAAGCAGGUAUCUUUCGUAUACUCUCUGGCAUACUCGGAGCUCUAUGACUUUGGCUCGGGUUUCAGCUAGUGCUUGCAGCAGGGCCUCAUGGUCUCUCUCAGAUCUCUCACGAGCAUUUUCAAGGCGAUUGGUGCAGAUGGUAUGCAUUCCUUCGUUGGCAUCAACCUCUGCGAUACGCUGGAGAGCCGUCCAGCCCUGAGUUUCGUUUUGGGCAACCCUACGGACCAGGAUUGGCAUAAUUCUGUCUGUUGAGACUCCUUUGCUUAAGUUGUAAAAGCUUUGGUCUCCAUUAAACGACAUAGGUUGAUCUUGUUCUUCGCUCCAUGUUUCCAAGAAUUCUACCCAAGGAGGCGUCGGGCCAUGAAAAGUCGGAUGAGGGUUAGGAUUUGGAAUGGGAGCUACCGGGGGUAGGUUCUCAACCUCGGGCUCGGAGUUAGCACCAUCCAAAAUGUCUUCAGCAUGGUGAUCAUCUAAAGGGAUUGGAUGAUCAUCUUCUGGCUCUUCUUCAAAUCAUCCAUCAUUGCCUUCGUUCGGAAGGUACAGAUCGUCGUGGGGAUGGAGUCUAGCCAUGUUAUCUACACGAGAAUUGGGGUAAAGAAAUACUUAUUAGACCCGUACUAACUAGAUAGUUAUAAGAUAAUCUUCAUUAGUUACUUCACUAUUUGUAAAGUGCAUACCAGUUAUAUGUAAUCAAAAUAGGAUAGGCCUUUGAAUAAGUGACCUUAACUCCAAAUUCACAAGGAACAGGGGUAAAGCAAAAUUUCAUAGAUUCUAAGUCUUUGUCAUCCUAGUUGCAUAUAACCUUAGUGUAUCCACUUAGCAGCUAUUGACCUACUAAUGAAGAUCUUUUUAGUUCUCAACUAAGUAAUUAUAGUAACACGAAAUAUUCCUAAUGUCUUCAUUGUAGUAGUGUUGGUAAGUUUUUAGACUUGUUGCCAUAUCACAACCAUUCUUGGGCAUAUGCUAAUCACUGCUCGGACCAACAUAGUUGAUCAGGCUAUGCCACUCUUAGGACUGACCAUACAUCCCCGAGCUUACUUGUGAUAUUCAACAAUCGUAAUACUUUUGUUUCUGUCAUCGUGACAUUGAUUUUAGUAUGAAUGCAGGCAUGUAUACUUAGUUAAAUAUUUUAUUAUUUAAAAGUAUAAACUCUUGGUCAGAGUAUUUCUAAAUCCCAUUGUAUUUAUAGUCUGUAUAUCUUUUAUGGGUUGAUAUACUCAACUCACUAUAAACAAUGCUCUGAUACCAAUCUGUCACACCCCAAAACCAAGAACGGCGGAAACGUUCUGGGGCGGAGGACGUCAUGCAAAGUAUCACAACAGUGUAAAGUAGUAAACAAGAAACAACAUCAUCCAUUGCAUUAGUAGUAAGAUUUUAAUACAUGUGUGUUCUUUCAUAGAAAAAGACAUGAACAUAAGUAAUCAAAAUAAAAGACGAGUCUUGACUACUCCGUCUUCUCAAAACCUGGCCAUCGUACCUGUCUACUGGUGACCUGAGAAUACAAGUUAUUUUGAAAGCAUAGAUCAGCAUAAAGUUGGUGAAUUCAUAAGUAUUUUAGUGUCAUUGAUUUGUAAAAACUAUAAUGAAAGACUUGUAAUUGUUUGAGAAAAAGUUUGUAUAAGUAUAAAAAUCCUAGAAAAUCUCAUAUUUACUACUAGUAUAAAAAGUAGUCUUCUACCAAGACCCGACUGUUUUGAAGGUUUGAACCUCUGCAAAAAUGAAGGUUUUUCCCUUGUACAACUAUUAUUAUUAAAAUAUAGUCUACCUCAUCGAUUAUGUGAAUGUGUCACAAAAUAAAGGUAAUAAGGAAAAUAAUAUAAUUAUUGAAAUCGUAUCCUUUUGUCUUAGGAUAAACACCGCGUGGUAACUCGCCGAACAGUACAACCGAAGACAUCCGUCGACGUGCAGUUUCCCACUGUAGCUAACAGGCGGGUGUAGAAUGGUCAGUCCCGUAUAGUAUGUAAUUGUAUCUCUUCAUAUAGUAUGUAAUAGUAUCUCUUCAUAUAGUAUGUAAUAGUAUCUCUUCAUAUAGUAUGUGAUAGUAUCUCUUCAUUUAGUAUGUAAUAGUAUCUCUUCAUAUAGUAUGUAAUAGUAUCUCUUCAUAUAGUAUUUAAUAGUAUCUCUUCAUUUAGUAUGUAAUAGUAUAUCUUCAUAUAGUAUGUAAUAUAUUUGUAUACACUUAUGAAUGAAUUGACUGUUGUGUGAUUCCUUAUACUAGGAAUAGUAAGUAGAAUCUCCUAACUAUACCUAUUAUAGUUACUAGUAAUGUACGUGUAUAACCGAAAGUAUGCCUUUGCUACCCAAAGGUACUGAAUUGACUGGUAGAACUUCUAUGUCUAUGUAUGUAUACAUAAUAUAUAACUAAUAUUUAGAUGACAUUCGGACAAAUAACCGAUACCCUAAGGCCACAUCCAGACAAGGAAAAGGAAUUAAAGCGAGCUAGCAGUCCUAAGUCCUUUGAACAUUACUUAUAUAACUAUACAUAUAUAGGCAUGCAUUUGAUAAUAUAAAAGUUUAAAAGAAGUUUUGUAAAACCUUUGAAAAGUUUAAUAAAUAAGAAUUGAUGACUUGAUGUCAGUUUAUAAAAUGAUUUAAAAGCAGUUUGUUUGAUAAGAACAGUUUAAAGUAUAAGAAUAGUUUAAAGUAUAAGAAAUCCUUUGUUUGAAACACAAUUGUAACAGAGUUUGAAAAGAAAGAUACAGUGUGUAAGACCGUUUUAUAAAGAGUUUAACAUGUAAAAACGUUUGAGGAAGUCAUUUGAAGUAGUAUGCUUGGUAAAACAGCUAAAAGCGAAGUAAAUCCAUUUAUGUACUAGUUAUUAAUCACAAGUGAUUGAUAUAUUAACUAAUAUGAUUCAACUUGUAUUCCCCCCUUAAAAGCAUUUAAAAACAUUUAAAAGGUUAAUUAAGGGGUGUGACAACCCGAUAUUUUCGAAUCAAUGUAAUGACCUAAAAAGUCAAGGAUUGUAAUCUCUCUUAGUGUAAUGAAAUUUGCAUCAAAAUUUGAAUGUUCAAAAGUCUCUAUUGGGUUACAUAAAAUGAUAAACAUCGUAUCAAGGGUUUCAGAAAUAUAAAGAACACUAAAAACGGAGUUAUAACGAAGAAGUUAUGACCAAUCUAAGAGUCACAGUAAAAACUGGCAAUACUGAUAAACGUAAAACGCGAAGAUUCAAUACAAUUAUAUUUAGCCUUAGGUAUCUAAAUGAAAGUUGUAGAUAUCAUUAGACCGUAUGCGUAUAUAAAAGAACGUCCAAAUCUGAUUUCGUAUGAGAAAGUUAUGAUUUUUCCAAGUUCCGAAUAUAGUAGCAGACAACUAAAAUACUUGAAAUAGAGAUCGAGAGAUUUUUAGCCAAUACCACCUAAAUAAGAAUCGAAGAUCUCAACAAUAGUAGCACAACGGUAUAAAGUCUGACGAGAACGGACCUCACAGGAAGGAGUUAUGGAUUUUUAACGGACUUCUCGUGUCUCGGCCCGUUAAAAAUAAAUAAAAAUAAAAAUAAAUUUAAAUUUUGCCGGUGGCGUCUAAACAAGAGUUGUAGAGCAUAAUCUCACCUACGAGUGGAUAUAAAGAACGUUAAAAAUGGAGCUCGUACGCGGAAGUUACGAAUUUUACAAGUUUUCGGCACAAAAUCUGAGGCUGUCAGGCCCACCACGUGGUAUUGUGAUUGAUGGGUGCCAGGUGCGUCAACAAAUGUCUCAUCAACGGAAGAGGAUAGAAUCCCUCACCACGACACUGUGACGUUUACCAUGACGUGGCGCCCAAAUUAGGGCUAUAAAUAGCAGCCGAAGAUGUUGGGUUCCAUUGCUCAUUUCUUCUCUCUCUUUCUCGUGCCGAAGCUCUGUGUUUAAACCCCCCGAAGCCAUCCCGAAGCCCAUGUCUUCAUAUCUAAGUUCCGAAAGAGGGUUUUUCACUCCCGAGAUUCCCGAGAUUCCCGAGAAAUUCAACUUUCCCUAGUUGAAGUUCUGCUCAGUUUUCUUUUCACCUUGUUCUAUCUAUCAAGUGAGUUCAUACCCCUAAAACUACGUUUUCAAAUACUUUAUAAAUGCUUUUAUAGACUUUCAAGGGGGGAAUACAAGUAAACACACGGUUACUCUUAUGUGGAAAACAUUAAACUCUUACUACACUUAUCUUUAUAUAACAAAUCAUAUGUGAUUCAUAACUAUCAUAUGAAAACGUUCGCAUGCAACACCUAUUCAAUAACAUUUUUUCCUUUAAGAGUAAAAACAUGUUGUUAUACAAAUAUCAAACACUUUAUUUAUAUAUUGGUGUAUAAUGCUCAAUAAUGUUAUUACAAAUGUUAUACUAUACAUACAAAGCCGACACUACACUAGGGUUUACUAUUCAAACGAAACACACUUUUGGAAAAACUAUAAUAGGUAUAGUUUACAAGGUAAUCAUGAGAUUUUACAUACUAUAAAUACUAUAUCAAGGAAAUACUUUCAUAUACAAGAAUAAAUGGACUUUUCAUACAUAAAUCUAUUUGAUACUAAGUUUUGUGAGACAUUCAACUUCACGUNUGUAAUAGUAUCUCUUCAUAUAGUAUUUAAUAGUAUCUCUUCAUUUAGUAUGUAAUAGUAUAUCUUCAUAUAGUAUGUAAUAUAUUUGUAUAGACUUAUGAAUGAACUGACUGUUGUGUGAUUCCUUGUACUAGGAAUAGUAAGUAGAAUCUCCUAACUAUACCUAUUAUAGUUACUAGUAAUGUACGUGUAUAACCGAAAGUAUGCCUUUGCUACCCAAAGGUACUGAAUUGACUGGUAGAACUUCUAUGUCUAUGUAUGUAUACAUAAUAUAUAACUAAUAUUUAGAUGACAUUCGGACAAAUAACCGAUACCCUAAGGCCACAUCCAGACAAGGAAAAGGAAUUAAAGCGAGGUAGCAGUCCUAAGUCCUUUAAACAUUACUUAUAUAACUAUGCAUAUAUAGGCAUGCAUUUGAUAAUAUAAAAGUUUAAAAGAAGUUUUGUAAAACCUUUGAAAAUUUUAAUAAAUAAGAAUUGAUGACUUGAUGUCAGUUUAUAAAAUGAUUUAAAAGCAGUUUGUUUGAUAGGAACAGUUUAAAGUAUAAGAAAUCCUUUGUUUGAAACACAAUUGUAACAGAGUUUGAAAAGAAAGAUACAGUAUGUAAGACAGUUUGAUAAAGAGUUUAACAUGUAAAAACGUUUGAGGAAGUCAUUUGAAGUAGUAUGCUUGGUAAAACAGUUAAAAGCGAAGUAAAUCCAUUAAUGUAUUAGUUAUUAAUCACAUGUGAUUGAUAUAUUAACUAAUAUGAUUCAACUUGUAUUCCCCCCUUAAAGGCAUUUAAAAACAUUUAAAAGGUUAAUUAAGGGGUGUGACAACCCGACAUUUUCAAAUCAAUGUAAUGACCUACAAAGUCAAGGAUUGUAAUCUCUCUUAGUGUAAUGAAAUUUGCAUCAAAAUUUGAAUGUUCAAAAGUCUCUAUUGGGUUACAUAAAAUGAUAAACAUCGUAUCAAGGGUUUCAGAAAUAUAAAAAACACUAAAAACCGAGUUAUAACGAAGAAGUUAUGACCAAUCUAAGAGUCACAGUAAAAACUGGCAAUACUGAUAAACGUAAAACGCGAAGAUUCAAUACAAUUAUAUUUAGCCUUAGGUAUCUAAAUGAAAGUUGUAGAUAUCAUUAGACCGUAUGCGUAUAUAAAAGAACGUCCAAAUCUGAUUUCGUAUGAGAAAGUUAUGAUUUUUCCAAGUUCUGAAUAUAGUAGCAGACAGCUAAAAUACUUGAAAUAGAGAUCGAGAGAUUUUUAGCUAAUACCACCUAAAUGAGAAUCGAAGAUCUCAACAAUAGUAGCACAACGGUAUAAAGUCUGACGAGAACGGACCUCACAUGAAGAAGUUAUGGAUUUUUAACGGACUUCUCGUGUCCCGGCCCGUUAAAAAUAAAUAAAAAUAAAAAUAAAGUCAAAUUUUGCCGGCGGAGUCUAAACAAGAGUUGUAGAGCAUAAUAUCACCUACACGUGGAUAUAAAGAACGUUAAAAACGGAGCUCGUACGCGGAAGUUACGAAUUUUACAAGUUUUCGGCACAAAAUCCGAGGCUGUCAGGCCCACCACGACGUGGUGAAGAAGCCACCACGUGGUAUUGUGAUUGAUGGGUGCCAGGUGCGUCAGCAAAUGUCUCAUCAACGGAAGAGGAUAGAAUCCCUCACCACGACACUGUGACGUGUACCACGACGUGGCGCCCAAAUUAGGGCUAUAAAUAGCAGCCGAAGAUGGUGGGUUCCAUUGCUCAUUUCUUCUCUCUCUCUCUCUCUCUCUCGUGCCGAAGCUCUGUGUUUAAACCCCCCGAAGCCAUCCCGAAGCCCAUGUCUUCAUAUCUAAGUUCCGAAAGAAGGCUUUUCACUCCCGAGAUUCCCGAGAUUCCCGAAAAAUUCAACUUUCCCUAGUUGAAGUUCUGCUCAGUUUUCUUUUCACCUUGUUCUAUCUAUCAAGUGAGUUCAUACCCCUACAACUACGUUUUCAAAUACUUUAUAAAUGCUUUUAUAGACUUUCAAGGGGGGAAUACAAGUAAACACACGGUUACUCUUAUGUGGAAAACAUUAAACUCUUACUACACUUAUCUUUAUAUAACAAAUCAUAUGUGAUUCAUAACUAUCAUAUGAAAACGUUCGCAUGCAACACCUAUUCAAUAACAUUUUGUCCUUUAAGAGUAAAAACAUGUUGUUAUUCAAAUAUCAAACACUUUAUUUAUAUAUUGGUGUAUAAUGCUCAAUAAUGUUAUUACAAAUGUUGUACUAUACAUACAAAGCCGACACUACACUAGGGUUUACUAUUCAAACGAAACACACUUUUGGAAAAACUAUAAUAGGUAUAGUUUACAAGGUAAUCAUGAGAUUUUACAUACUAUAAAUACUAUAUCAAGGAAAUACUUUCAUAUACAAGAAUAAAUGGACUUUUCAUACAUAAAUCUAUUUGAUACUAAGUUUUGUGAGACAUUCAACUUCACGUACUUUCAAGUAUGCAGUUAAAGUCCUGUAUUAUAUACCAUAAUCUCUUGUAGGGAGAGCGUGAUACUUGUGUAUAGAUCUAUACGGGAUUGACAAUCCCGCACCUAAACUGUUAGCUACAGUUAGACCGACAUGUCUGGGUUGACAAACAUCAUAACAUUCCAACGCCUAAAGAACGUUGUUACAGCCAGUCUGGCUCAGUAGUAUGGUUAUAAAACUCACAUGGAGUAUUAAAAACACGUUGAUUUACGGGGUUAUCUAAUGCCUUAACGAUUCUUUUACAUACAUAAAUCUUCUAUUCUAGGCAUGAAAAACACUAUUGCAUAAUAAUCUUUGGAACUUUUUAACUACCUUACACUUAUGGAAAAAUAUUGGAAUUUUAGAAACAACAUUCGAAACAGUCGGGUCUUAGUAGAAGACUACUUUUAUACUAGUAGGAAAUAUGGGAUUUUCUAGGAGUUUUCAAACAUCUACAAACAAAUUCAUUUAAAUUUAUACAAACAUUGACAUUAAAUACUUAUGAACUCACCAGCUUAAAUGCUGAUCUACUCUUUCAAAUCUACUUGUAUUUCUCAGGGAUUCAGUAAUACAGGUAAACUUCAGCUUUUGGAGAAGUGAUGCUAAGGCGUCAGUUUUAAACUCAUUUUGUCAUCAUAUUGUAAUUUGUUUUUGAAACAAGUAUCAUCCAACAAUGUAACUCUUAAAUUAUAUAUAUGAUGGUUGUGUUUACUUUCUUUACUAUGUAUUCAACUGUUACGAUACUACAUGAUGUCAUCCACAAUGAUUAUACAUGAAUCAUAACAUCAUUCAUCACCAAGCAUUGAAAUAGUACAACUGAUAUUGUUUACAUUCAGUACAUUGUUUUAAACGUUACAUUUCCAAAACUUAUACCGUUCGAUACUAAAUUAAACAAAACACCGUGACAUCACUGGAUACAUAUUCUUCAAUUUACCUGUUACCUGAGAAUACAAGUAUUUUGGAAAACGUCAACAUAUGAAAUGUUGGUGAGUUCAUAAGUCAUGUUUGAAAAAUAAUGAUUUUUAUGUAGUUUGAAAACCCAAAAAAUCUGAUAUUUUCUGAAAAGAGUAUUGUUUAUAAAAAGUGUGGAGAUCCGUAGUAUGCUUGUCGAUUUUUGUAAACGUGUAUAAUUGUUAAACCUUGUAUACAUCACAUAGAUAAAAGUGUUGAACUUCCCGGGAAAACCCGAUGUUUUCCUCGUACAUAGAAUUUCAUGUCUUGUUUAUUGUUAUACCGAUUCGACGGUUGUUUCCGAUAAUUCCAGGUGACAUUGGAUUAAUUAUGGGUUGUGAGUCGUUAUAUUCACGCAUCAAUGAAGAUGACUAGUCUGUAACUAUCAAUUACAAAUGAUCCUUUAGGCGUCGUCCAUAAGAUUCACUUAAUCCAACUACCCUGACUUCUCAUAGCCCCACAACUGAGGAGAAAAGAGGGUACGAAGCCCCCGUUAUUUCCAUAAGUCGUUCAAGGCUAUUGUGAAUGCAAAAGGCACUUGGCCCGACUCGCAUUUGACUUCUCGACUUUGCUAGCAGUACCAAUGGGCCCUUGGGGCCCAAUAACACAAUAAAGCUAUUGAAAGUCCUUUUACAUGGAAUUAGGUCAUAGAAGGCCCAAUAACAUGUAAGCGCGUUCCCUUCGGGCUCAAAGAUCAUGUCAUUGGGCUAGCUAGGCCCAACAAGCACGAUUUGAAACUUUCAAGCCCAAAGAUUGAAUAUUGACUUCUCGUGAAUUUCGCGUGUUUAUUGAAGUACUUAUUGUUUAUUGAUUUUUUAUUCGUUAUUGAUUCGAGACCGAAUCAAUUCGUUUGGCAACGAUAUUGGUGUUGAAAGCGUAUUUGUUAUUACGUUUCGUCGGUAGUCAUGGUACUCGUAUUUUAUCUUAAGGGAUUUAUUGUUUUAAAAAAAAAGAGUUUACCUUUUUAUGACCCUUCUUGGAUAAAANAAUUGUAACCUUAUAUAAAAGAAUUUCCAUUUUAGUCCUUAAACCAUUUUUCUUGACACUUUAGUGUCAAAACUUAUUAAAAAGACAUUUUCAGCCUAGAUUCACUUGAUAAACAACUUAAGUGCUUCAAAAAUGAUUUUCUCUUGGUUGGAACGCUUAUUUUCACAACUUUACAGUUUUGGCCCAAAAUGGAAAUUUUUUGCAUUUUUGGUCCCUUUUGACUUUGAAAACAUUUUUGACCCUUGAAUUAGUUUUAUUACACUAGUAAUCCCCUGUUUUACAGAAAUUUGAAGUUUCAGCCCCUCUAUUUCAGAAUUUUCGCAACUUGGGGCUUAUUGGGCCGAAAAGCCCAUUUUUAGCCCAUUAGGUUCAAAAUUUACAUUUUAAGCCCCUCAAAAGUGUUGAUUUUCAGAAAAUUUUUAUUAGAAACUGUUUGGACUCUUUCCAACCUCCAGAAAUUAUCAUUUGUCGUUUUGGGCCCUUAGCUUUUGUAUUUUUGACAAUUUGAGCCCAAAAAUGGGUUUUAUGUCCAAAAAUGUUCAUCCUAACAAAAUAAAUUAUUUUUAUUGACUUGAUUAGUGUAAAAUGGUAUAAGCUAUGUUUAUUUCAUUCAUCAAGUUGUAGAUCUCGGAUUUUAGGUAUUUUUAGCUAUCAUAUUCAUCACAUAACAUAUAAAAUCAUACAUACAAGCAUGAAAAUCACACAAGGCAUACAUGAACUCAUAGAUCUACACAUUUGCUUGUAUUCUCCCCCACAAAACUUAUAAAAACAGAGAAAUAGGGGGUAUGAAGCUCACCUUGGGUGUGGAUUUGGUUUUUGAUGCAG
rnacentral:lncRNA from 1 species